UACGUAGGUGGCAAGCGUUGUCCGGAUUUACUGGGCGUAAAGAGCGCGCAGGCGGUCGUUCAAGUCGCGUGUGAAAGCCCCCGGCUCAACUGGGGAGGGUCACGCGAUACUGAUCGACUCGAAGGCAGGAGAGGGAAGUGGAAUUCCCGGUGUAGUGGUGAAAUGCGUAGAUAUCGGAAGGAACACCAGUGGCGAAGGCGGCUACCUGGACUGACACUGACGCUGAGGCGCGAGAGCGUGGGGAGCAAACAGG
rnacentral:rRNA from 1 species